CAGGAGAUAGUUUAAUGUAAAAUAUUAAUUUUGGAGAUUAAUGAUAAGGAGUUCAUCUUUUCCCCUGA
rnacentral:tRNA from 1 species